GCUAGAAUAGCUCAAUGGUAGAGCACCGGUAUCGUAAACCGUAGGUUGCAGGUUCAAGUCCUGUUUCUAGCUCCA
rnacentral:tRNA from 1 species